rnacentral:rRNA from 1 species
CCUACGGGUGGCUGCAGUGAGGAAUAUUGGUCAAUGGACGAGAGUCUGAACCAGCCAAGUAGCGUGAAGGAUGACUGCCCUAUGGGUUGUAAACUUCUUUUAUAAAGGAAUAAAACGAGGCACGUGUGCCUUUUUGUAUGUACUUUAUGAAUAAGGAUCGGCUAACUCCGUGCCAGCAGCCGCGGUAAUACGGAGGAUCCGAGCGUUAUCCGGAUUUAUUGGGUUUAAAGGGAGCGUAGAUGGGUUGUUAAGUCAGUUGUGAAAUUUUGCGGCUCAACCGUAAAAUUGCAAUUGAUACUGGCAGUCUUGAGUACAGUUGAGGUAGGCGGAAUUCGUGGUGUAGCGGUGAAAUGCUUAGAUAUCACGAAGAACCCCGAUUGCGAAGGCAGCUUACUAAACUGUGACUGACAUUGAGGCUCGAAAGUGUGGGUAUCAAACAGGAUUAGAUACCCGAGUAGUC